rnacentral:rRNA from 1 species
UACGUAGGGUGCGAGCGUUGUCCGGAAUUAUUGGGCGUAAAGGGCUCGUAGGCGGUCUGUCGCGUCGAAAGUGAAAACCCAGGGCUUAACCCUGGGCCUGCUUCCGAUACGGGCAGACUAGAGGUAUGCAGGGGAGAACGGAAUUCCUGGUGUAGCGGUGAAAUGCGCAGAUAUCAGGAGGAACACCAAUGGCGAAGGCAGAUCUCUGGGCCGUAACUGACGCUGAGGAGCGAAAGCAUGGGGAGCGAACAGG